AAGUUCACGAGGCGUAGAUUGAUAUAUAUAACAACAAGAUGAAAAAGUUAAAAAUGGGAACAGAGAAAAAGGUAGCUAACUGUUCUUGUAACGUCUCGUUGAUUUCAUUUGUUGUUAUAGCAUCACCGAUUAUUCAAUCUUCAAGAAGUUGACUGUUUGGUGUAGAAGCGGAGGCCAACAGCACCUCCCAAAAUAAUCAAAGGAACCAAGAACUGGAGGAUCUUAAUGAUGAACUCUGUUGUUUUGUCCUGGUUGUAAUGAGGCUGCUUUGGAGGAGUGUACUUUACACUUGUUGGGAUGGUUGAAGAAUCGAUUUCUCCUACAUAAUACUCGUCCAACAUUGCUCGAGCACUACUGCUGUGUCCG
rnacentral:misc_RNA from 1 species